UACAGAGGUGGCAAGCGUUGUUCGGAAUUACUGGGCGUAAAGGGCGCGUAGGCGGCCUGUUAAGUCCCGUGUGAAAUCCCUCGGCUCAACCGAGGAACUGCACGGGAAACUGGCGGGCUUGAGUUCGGGAGAGGGAAGCGGAAUUCCGGGUGUAGCGGUGAAAUGCGUAGAUAUCCGGAGGAACACCGGUGGCGAAGGAGGCUUCCUGGACCGACAAUGACGAUGAGGCGCGAAAGCUAGGGGAGCAAACGGG
rnacentral:rRNA from 1 species